GAGCUCAGUUGGUAGCACAUGAGACUCUUAAUUUCAGGGUCGUGGGUCCAAGUCCCAUGUUGGGCA